rnacentral:rRNA from 1 species
AUUGAACGCUGGCGGCAGGCCUAACACAUGCAAGUCGAGCGAGCGGCGGACGGGUGAGUAAUGUCUGGGGAACUGCCCGAUAGAGGGGGAUAACUACUGGAAACGGUGGCUAAUACCGCAUACUAUCGGAUGAACCCAUAUGGGAUUAGCUAGUUGGUGGGGUAAAGGCUCACCAAGGCGACGAUCCCUAGCUGGUCUGAGAGGAUGACAAGCAACACUGGAACUGAGACACGGCCCAGACGCCUACGGGAGGCAGCAGUGGGGAAUAUUGCACAAUGGGCGAAAGCCUGAUGCAGCCAUGCCGCGUGUAUGAAGAAGGCCUUCGGGUUGUAAAGUACUUUCAGCGGGGAGGCGUUACCCGCAGAAGAAGCACCGGCUAACUCCGUGCCAGCAGCCGCGGUAAUUC